rnacentral:miRNA from 1 species
GGGGAUGCGAAGGCGAGAGAAAGAGAGCGAGAAAAAAUUCCUCGCUCUCUUUCUCUCGCCUUCGCAUCCCUCCCCCCUAGCU